ensembl:lncRNA
CAUUUGAGAUGAUAUUUGUUUGUGUAGGCCUACAAUGAAGUAUCGGUGCGGUAGCAAUAGAAAUGUGGAGAGUGGGUUGACUUUCUGACUCUAUUCAGAUUUCGAUAUUUGAUAAUUGAUAUGCUUGGCGUUUGAGUUGUGUUUGGUGUGUAUAAAAAUGACUUAUAUGUGCUUGUGGCCGAGUUUCUCAUGUUUAAUUUGACGUGCAAAAUGACUAUUUCCACACAAUAAGGGCAGUGUUGUAUGCUUUUUGCUGCGAGAGUGAUCGAGAGUCCCCAAAUAUGGGGACCCCCGAGCUUUGCUCACCAUUUGAUUGACCUCAAAAGGGGUUUGCUUUUGCUACUGGCCAACUAAAAUGACCUAUUGUCCCAUUGAUGCCAAAUGGUGUGGUGUGAGAGAAGUUUGAAUGUGUUCAGACAUGUUGCCUUCCACCGAAGUCAAUCAGAAGCACAUGACGCCAUCCGUCCCACGCAACAGAUACUCUGUAUCUGCAAAACCAGAAAUUCAUGAUAUGAAAUGAAUGCAGAUUUAUUUUUGAAACUCCACUGUUAUGUCUUCUUCCCUAAACGGCUGUUUUUAAAUAUUGGGCUUGAUAUAAAAAAAUCAAAAUCAUUCUAUAUCCCUGCAAAGCAGCAAUACAUUUAAACGUGCGUUGUUUUGAAUAACAAACAAACAACGCUUUCAAUGACCAUUUAUCAAAGCUCAAAUCGUAAAAUAAAUGUUUGCUUUCCAGUAUCUGAAGGGAGUCAGUCAGCAGGGAGUCCAAGUCAAGUCUCUCAGCAGGGAGUUUUAGUUAAGAUCCAUAGCAAGAAGUGACUUAAUAUAUAUUUUUUUAACUGAACGAUUGUUUUUCAUUUGGAAAGUAAAACUCACCACAGAACAGUGACAUGUUGUGGACAAGGAGUGGGUUCUAUGUUGUGUGUUCAGUGAGGCUUCCAAAACAAUCAUGAUUUGUGAGUGGGCUGACCUUGCGAGCCUGAUCAUGGGCCCGUUCAGAAGGCCUCUGUGCGGAGUACAUCAUUGGUUUGCUGUUGGGUAGGUCGUCCACCACCACCAGGUUGAAGGGCAGCUGGCCUCCAUCUGGUCACAGUUGGUGGAUCAUUGAAGACCAAACUCACCAUAGAACGGUGUCAUGUUGUGGACAAGGAGUGGCUACUUUGUUUAUGUUCAGUAAGGUUUCCAAAGAAAGUACGAUAAUGCUCAACUCAACUCAAAACAUGGCGACCCUUUAGAAAACAGUUCUAAAGGUCUUCAAGUCCUAAACAGUGAGUCACAGUCUCCAUUCAGGUACUAAGGACAAAAACACGUAAAGACAAAACUAAAAUGACCUAUUGUCACAUUGAACCCAACGGGUGGGGGAAGGGAGGUCUGAAUGUGUGUGGAGUCGUUUCAAGGCUUACUUUGGGCGAGCAUCCCUGAGAGAGAGAGCAGCAGGAGAAACGAGAGCAGAGCUGAGGAGGCCAUUCUGACGGACGACAUCAACACCUGCGCCAACCUGCGUGAUAACCACUGGAGCCAGGUCGUCACACAGUUUACACACUGCAGCGGUUGAUUGGACAACUGCUGCAUGAAGGAUUAGAUGAUCUUCAUGUUUAAUGAGUGUCGAGCAGCACUCAGUGUUAUUCAGGACCCUGAAGGAAGAUGGCGCCACAGUCAGGAUCACACGGUCAUGUGGCGCAGGAUGAUCACGUCACUGUCCUGGACACGGUAGUUGCAGAGUCCUGAGAAACCAGAUUAAACACAUCUAAAUAUCAGCAGCUAAUAAAAAGUUACAAUAUACUAUGUAUAGAUAUAUGUUUGUGUGUGUGUAUGCGUGUGUGCGUGUGUGCGUGUGCGUGUCGUGGUGCUCUCAGCUUACCAACAGGAGUGAUCAUGUUAUGGUUUUUGACCAGAACUUGCCAGAAGCUGUUCUCAGUUUUGGUAAUAAUAUUAUUACCAAAAGUCACCCGGGUCAAAUAGGGUGGCAUUCCAAAUUUGCUUCCACAUUCGAAACUGUAACGAGGACAUGGAAAUAUACAACAGGUAAAUUACUUUCAUUCAUAAUGACCAUCUGGAUUUAUGAAAUUAUGUUUCAUUUGAAAUCGUUUAAUGUAUCAGAUUAUGUGGAGGAAGUAAACUGGGAUGCAGGACUCCAUUACAAUGCACCAGAUGAUUGAUGAAUUAGGGUUGAGGACCUAAAAAGGACACAUUUUGACUACACAACCUACCUGAAGUUUGAGACGGAAUCUUUCAAUUCUGUCAACGCCCACAGGAGUCGCUGGUUGCAGUCCGUAGUAGCAAAGGGAAUCGUUGGUGAGGUUACUGCUCUUGGGGCCCCUGCUUUUAUAUUCAACCUCAGGGAAGACGUCAUGGCAAGGGGAUAACCACCCAGACUAGUUACUGGGCAAUAUGCCCGGGAACUGGCUUCCAAGUAAUUAUUACAACACCAUUAUUUAUUUAUUUUAACUUAAAUGUAUUAUUUGUUCUAUCUAUCUUGUAAAAAAAAAUCUUGGCAUUCAGUCUGUGGAAACAAAGGAAGAAUUUCAUUGCACAACUGAGAACGUCUCAUUUAUGCAUAUGACAAUAAAC